UCCCUGUGUAGUUCAGGAUGGCCUUGAAUUCACUAUGUAGCCCAGGCUGGCCUUGAACUCACAGCAAUCCUGGUGCCUCAGCCUCCUGAAUGCUGGGAUUACAGGCCUGCGCCACCAUGCUC
rnacentral:miRNA from 1 species